UCCUGGCUCAGGAUGAACGCUAGCUACAGGCUUAACACAUGCAAGUCGAGGGGCAGCGAGAGGAAAGCUUGCUUCCUGUCGGCGACCGGCGCACGGGUGAGUAACGCGUAUCCAACCUUCCCCAUAGUAGAGGAUAGCCCGGCGAAAGUCGGAUUAAUACUCUAUGUUGUGUCAUGAGGACAUCUGAAUAACACUAAAGAUUUAUCGCUAUGGGAUGGGGAUGCGUCUGAUUAGCUUGUUGGCGGGGUAACGGCCCACCAAGGCGACGAUCAGUAGGGGUUCUGAGAGGAAGGUCCCCCACAUUGGUACUGAGACACGGACCAAACUCCUACGGGAGGCAGCAGUGAGGAAUAUUGGUCAAUGGACGAGAGUCUGAACCAGCCAAGUAGCGUGCAGGAAUGACUGCCCUAUGGGUUGUAAACUGCUUUUAUGCGGGAAUAAAGUCAGGUACGUGUACCUGUUUGUAUGUACCGCAUGAAUAAGGACCGGCUAAUUCCGUGCCAGCAGCAGC
rnacentral:rRNA from 1 species